GGCUCAGGAUGAACGCUGGCGGCGUGCUUAACACAUGCAAGUCGAACGAACCUUCGGGUUAGUGGCGGACGGGUGAGUAACGCGUGGGAAUCUGCCCUCAGGAGGGGGAUAACGGUUGGAAACGACCGCUAAUACCCCAUAUGCCGAGAGGUGAAAUGAAUUUCGCCUGAGGAUGAGCCCGCGUCUGAUUAGCUUGUUGGUGAGGUAAUGGCUCACCAAGGCUUCGAUC
rnacentral:rRNA from 1 species